rnacentral:piRNA from 1 species
UGAGUUACGUCCUCACCUAAGCACAUCUGU